GUCCGUGGGGGUGCUAUAUAGUCGACCGACAGAUGGGACCUUGCUCCCUGAUGUUACCGGCGGACGGGUGAGUAACACCGUGGGUAACCUGCCUGUAAGACUGGAUAACUCCGGGAAACCGGGGCUAUACCGGAUGGUUGUCUGAACCGCAUGGUUCAAACAUAAAAGGGGUUCGGCUACCACUUACAGAGGACCCCGGGCGCAUUAGCUAGUUGGGAGGUAACGGCUCACCAAGGCGACAAUGCGUACCACCUGAGAGGGUGAUCGGCCACACUGGGACCUGAAACACGGCCCAAACUCCUACGGGAGGCAGCAGGGGAUUAGCGCC
rnacentral:rRNA from 1 species